GCUCGUCCUGUGAAUGGAGGGAGAACCUCUCACGGUGACAGCGCUCGUCCUGUGAGUGGAGGGAGAACCCCUCACGGACCGAGGGCAUGAGGGUCCCGGCGCCGCAGCCCUGAGGGGCAGCCACAGCCCCCGAGCGCCCCGUCGGCAGCACAAGCGGCCACAGCGUGUCCUUCAGAGCCCUCACAUGUUAUUCUCGCUUCUAUUUGAAAUUAGAAAUACCUUGAGAGAACAGACUUAACAUCACCAUCUCCAAUUCCAGGGCUGACGCUGCCGCGUGUUCAUUCACCUGAAGUUACCCCCUCAAGCAUCCAGCGCACAGGCAUCAUUUCCUCAGAGAAACAUCAUUUAACCACCCUGAGAAGAUGAACUCAACCUUCUCCGACUCAGCAGGGGCCAUACAUUUCAUCAUCAUCAUCAUCACAUUUCACUACUGUGGAAUCAGCACCAUUUUGUUUUGAAAGAGGAGGAUUGGACAGAAAGAACAGGACACAGGGCAAAUGGAAAAUGCUUUGUAAUUUGCUGCCAUCUGGCAGCAGUGAAGAGCAAGACAGAGCCUGUCAAGCCUCCUGCUAACACCAUUCCAGAAAGGCUGAUGGCUCCAUCUUUCCCGGGCGGAGGGAGCUGGAAUCUCCAAGGCCAACCAUUUCCCCAGCUCUGUCUCUGGCCAUUGCCAAUGUCUCCUCUUGAUGAUGAAUAGACAAACUGGAGGACUGGGAACUGCAGAUGAAGCUGCAUCAGACACACUGGCCACUGAAAAAACAAUAAAUAUGGUCAGCUACUUGGGUAAAGUGUGUCACAAUCCUGCUCUGGCAAACACAGGCAGCUGUUUGGAACACCCCAGUCCACAAGGAGCAGUUUCUGUGUGAGUGACUGCAGGCUGCCAAGGGACUGUGCUUCCUUGAUUUUCCUAGAACAGCAGAAUCCCUGGGAUUGACCUUUGGGAGUUCACUGUCAUCACAUGCUCCUCUGCAGCUGGUUUCUGUUUGGUAAGACAGCGAGAUGCAAAAAUCCAUCUCAGUGGCUCAAAGGGAAAAGGGGGGGAAAAAAAAAGUAAUGUCUCCUUCCCCAAAGUUGGCUGCAUUUCUGUCACGUCCAGGGAAUUAUUAUGUAUUUCAAAUGGCUCUGAGUGAUUUGGAAGGAGCCUCUCAUAAUGAGGCUCAAGCCUCUUGCUUUUUCUCCCUGCAGGCACAAUAGUUUCCAGGGAUAUCUUUGGGAGUUUCAGACAUGUGGAGGAAACAGACUGUCAAAGGCAGAUUCUCUUGUGUGGAUUUGAGACAAUUUUGCUUUCCAAAUCUUGGGCAGUAAGGCACCUAAAGAGAACAAAUCCAGGAAGUGGAGAGGGAAAACAAGCUUUGCUGUAAAUUCAUUUAUUUCCCCAAGGAGGAUUUAGGUCCUGUUUUUGUACAAGCAGUGACUGUCCAUUGUAAGAACAGUAACCCACUAACUUCAGCUGGGAAAGAGUGGAGGCCAAACAGUAUCUUGUGAAUGGAUAUAACUGAGGGUGGAUGAACCACUGGGAAUGUAAAGUGCAGGAUAACAAUGCUGCACGUAUUUGGUCAGCCUUGUCUAUGCAGUAGUUUUACAAAUUAUGUAGGUGCCCAUAAUAACACUUUAACCCCUUCCUAAGUGCCUCUUAUUUCUGCUCAGCAGAGGCUGAACUGAGAAAUGUUCCACUUGUAUUGGAACGUGGAGAUUUAACCAGGCAUUACAGAAACAGCCCAGUGUUCAGCCUGUGUGCUGUAGGUGACACUGAACCCACCUCCCCAUCCAACAUGAAACAAGUCAUGGAGUAUUUUGGCAGCCUCAUUUUAGGGACCUAAAAUUAGUUCCUCUGAAUCACACUUUAGAAGAGCCUAUUUCUGUCCCAUACUACACAGGAAGCCCAAGUUCUUUGGCACCUCGUUCAGAUGCUGAAAUCAUUCUUGUCCUCAUCCCCCAAACAGACAAAUUCUCUGUAAAAUAGAACUUUAUGUAAUGGGCAUGUUUCUAAGCUGUCCCUUUGGCACCUUUCAGUGCCAGCUUUGGAUGACUGACCAAUUCAGAAACACUGGGAUGAGGGAAAGGGAUCCUCAUCAAAAAAGCAAGUUAUUCCUCUUUAUUUGUGUCGUGGGGAUUUGUGAGAUAUGAGGGGGUCACAGACCAGGACAGGUAGGAUACAGGUAACAUGAAGCUCCUGUUGGACUGGCUACUCUUUCCCAAAACUGUAACAUCACAUAAUGGCUUGGGUUGGAAGGUGUAGAGUAUUUGCAGGAAAAUGGACAUUGUUUGAACAGUCCAUAUUUUUGAGAAGCACUAGGCCUGCUCCACAUAACUUUGAAAGUUGCAAACCGUGUGAAAACUCCAUGUGUUUAUACUUACAAACUGUGAAACUAUGCAAUGUUUAUACUUGUUAGUUGGUAUGUUUAUAGUUAAGGUAGGAGAAAAUCAUGUGUUUACAGUUGAAAGUUGUGGGAAAACUAGAGAUAAAGGGACACCUGCAAAAUCCCGGGAAAAUCCCUAAAGGCGGAUGGACAGGAGGGACUUUGGGUGGCAAAAAUGAUCUCAGGCCGCGUGGACAGAGCUUCAGAGCCAAUAAACCGAAGGCGUGAGACGCGUGCACAGACCGAGGUACCCAAUCACCUUGUUGUAAGCACGUGCCCGGAAAAAAACUGAACCGUAUAAAAGUUAACUCAUUUAAAUAAUAAAUUGGACAUCGCUUUGAUCGUUCCCGAACUCCUGCCGUCCAUAGGUGGCGCCCGAAGGGAGACAGGGACCCUCCCGAGUGCCCUGUUCCCCGAGGACAGUGUCGGCAACGGGAAGAGGAGGCAGGAAACCGGGAAAGAGCUCGAGCCACAGUCGACUUGGAAUCCCACCCUAAUCAGAUCCCGCUGCCGGCCAGCUCCAAACCGCAGGCUCCCGCCCGACCGUCAGCCAGCGGCCCCGGCAGUCCGUCCUCAGCCCCGGAGAGCUCCAGCUCCGUGCAGGACGCCGGGGAGCCCACUGCCAGCAGCGCCUCCCCCCGCCGCGGGUCCCGGGCCGGGAGAGCCCCCCCAGCCCCGCCUCGGCCAGGAGCCGCCGCCGCUUCUCCCGCCGCGCCCUCCGAGGCUGCUGCCGCGCCGCCGCCUGGAGCCGUGCCCUGUCCCGCCGCCCCUCCACCGCCGAGCGCCGCCGGCCCGGCCAGCGCUGCGCGUCUACCGCCGCUCCCCCGGCUGCCGCUCACUCCGCCACUGCCGCGACUGCGCCUGCG